GGCCCGCGUGAAACCCUCUCUGCUGCCUCGACUGACUGUCGUUUCCGUGUCUUGAUUGUGGCCUCUGCCUCUCCCCCUUCCGAUUUCGUUCGACUUCUUUCUACAGUUACUAAGCGCCCACUGUGUGCCCUGGAAGGGACUAGACUCAGCAGGAAAAACAUCCAGGCAAGUGGACAGCAUUUGCAACAGCCCAGCAAUAAGAAGGACCAUAUUCUACUUGGGAAAAGGUAAAGUCGUUUCAUAUGGACGGAGGUGAGUUCAAGGGGGAAAAGAAAUGGAACUUGCCAAGUAAGUGGAGGCUGGCUCUUAAAGUUUGUUCUUCAGGCAAUGGGGAGCCAUUGAUAAGAUGUUAGUUAGAGAGUGCUUAUGUUAAUUCUCAAUUUAUUAUUAAAAUACUUUGAAUAUUUUAGGAACAUAUUUCGAGCUCUACACAUACUUCUUGUAUUUUGGUGGUCUUGAAGUCACAGGGCAGAGCUAGGAGUUAAUUUCAGUUCCAACUCAUGGUAUGACUUAGCAAGUAAAGUCUUAUUUUAGGUCCUUAGUUUUCUCAUCUCUAAAUGAAGAAAAAGAAAAGCAAGGGAUUGGCAAGCUUAACAUGCUCAAUAGUUUUUCUUUGCUGAACUAUUCCCGGAGGGUCAACCAGCCUUCAAUAGGUGUGAUUAAUAAGUUACAAAAGAUAAAUAGAGUGUCUUCAAAGAUUUUAUGUUCCUUAUUUAAAUUUUACCUGUCUUUACAGCCUGCCAGGAAACCUGUCAUUCAACCCUUUGCAAUAAAAC
rnacentral:lncRNA from 1 species